rnacentral:rRNA from 1 species
UACGGGGGGGGCAAGCGUUGUUCGGAAUUACUGGGCGUAAAGGGCGCGUAGGCGGUUCGCUAAGUUGGAUGUGAAAACUCUGGGCUCAACCCAGAGCCUGCAUCCAAAACUGGCGGGCUAGAGUUCUGGAGGGGGUAGCGGAAUUCCUGGUGUAGCGGUGAGAUGCGUAGAUAUCAGGAGGAACACCGGUGGCGAAGGCGGCUACCUGGACAGAAACUGACGCUGAGGCACGAAGGCCAGGGGAGCAAACGGG